UCCGUGUUGUAUCGGAUAUACAAACACUUGCCUUUGGCUCGAGUUUAUAUAUCCAAUACAUCACGGUCGCGCCUGUUGUAAAUAGUAUUUAUUACUGCAGUGUUAUUACAGAUUAAGAGACUGAAAUUUAUAACAUGGAGCCGAAGGCGAGAGUUUGCAUAUCCGAUACAACACGGA